rnacentral:rRNA from 1 species
AACGAACGCUGGCGGCGUGGAUAAGACAUGCAAGUUGAACGCUAAUUUCGGUGUAGCAAUACAUCGGAGUUGGAGUAGCGCAAGGGUGCGUAACACGUGGGUAAUUUGCCGUGAAGUUGGGGAUAACUCGCUGAAAGGCGAGCUAAUACCGAAUGUGAAGUUUGGGUGGCAUCACCUGACCUUUAAAGCUGGGGAUCGUAAGACCUGGCGCUUUAUGAUAAGCCCGCGGCCAUCAGCUAGUUGGUGAGGUAACGGCUCACCAAGGCUAAGACGGGUAGCUGGUCUGAGAGGACGACCAGCCACACUGGAACUGAGACACUGCCCAGACUCCUACGGGGGGCUGCAGUGACGAAUCUUCCGCAAUGCACGAAAGUGUGACGGAGCGACGCCGCGU